GCGGCUAUAGUUUAACGGUAGAGCAAUUGACUUCCAAUCAAUAAGCGUGGGUUCGAUUCCCACUAGCCGCU
rnacentral:tRNA from 2 species